rnacentral:rRNA from 1 species
UGCAAGUCGAACGAUGAUGCCCAGCUUGCUGGGUGGAUUAGUGGCGAACGGGUGAGAAACACGUGAGUAACCUGCCUUGACUUCGGGAUAACUCCGGGAAACCGGGGCUAAUACCGGAUAUGAGCCGCCUUCGCAUGGGGGUGGUUGGAAAGUUUUUCGGUCAGGAUGGGCUCGCGGCCUAUCAGCUUGUUGGUGGGGUGAUGGCCUACCAAGGCGACGACGGGUAGCCGGCCUGAGAGGGCGACCGGCCACACUGGGACUGAGACACGGCCCAGACUCCUACGGGAGGCAGCAGUGGGGAAUAUUGCACAAUGGGCGAAAGCCUGAUGCAGCGACGCCGCGUGAGGGAUGAAGGCCUUCGGGUUGUAAACCUCUUUCAGCAGGGAAGAAGCGCAAGUGACGGUACCUGCAGAAGAAGCGCCGCUAACUACGUGCCAGCAGCCGCGGUAAUACGUAGGGCGCAAGCGUUGUCCGGAAUUAUUGGGCGUAAAGAGCUCGUAGGCGGUUUGUCGCGUCUGGUGUGAAAACUCGAGGCUCAACCUCGAGCUUGCAUCGGGUACGGGCAGACUAGAGUGCGGUAGGGGAGACUGGAAUUCCUGGUGUAGCGGUGGAAUGCGCAGAUAUCAGGAGGAACACCGAUGGCGAAGGCAGGUCUCUGGGCCGCAACUGACGCUGAGGAGCGAAAGCAUGGGGAGCGAACAGGAUUAGAUACCCUGGUAGUCCAUGCCGUAAACGUUGGGCACUAGGUGUGGGGCUCAUUCCACGAGUUCCGUGCCGCAGCAAACGCAUUAAGUGCCCCGCCUGGGGAGUACGGCCGCAAGGCUAAAACUCAAAGGAAUUGACGGGGGCCCGCACAAGCGGCGGAGCAUGCGGAUUAAUUCGAUGCAACGCGAAGAACCUUACCAAGGCU